UACGUAGGUGGCAAGCGUUGUCCGGAAUUACUGGGCGUAAAGCGUGCGCAGACGGUUGCGUAAGUCAGAUGUGAAAGCCCCGGGCUCAACCUGGGAAUUGCAUUUGAGACUGCGUAGCUAGGGUGCGGAAGAGGGAAGCGGAAUUUCCGGUGUAGCGGUGAAAUGCGUAGAUAUCGGAAGGAACACCAGUGGCGAAAGCGGCUUCCUGGUCCAGCACCGACGUUCAGGCACGAAAGCAUGGGGAGCAAACAGGGAUUAGAA
rnacentral:rRNA from 1 species